rnacentral:rRNA from 1 species
GACGAACGCUGGCGGCGUGCUUAACACAUGCAAGUCGAACGGAAAGGCUCUGCUCUUGUGGGGUGCUCGAGUGGCGAACGGGUGAGUAAAACGUGAGUAACCUGCCCUUGACUUUGGGAUAACGUCAGGAAACUGGGGCUAAUACCGGAUAUGAGCACCUGCUGCAUGGUGGGGGUUGGAAAGUUUCGGCGGUUGGGGAUGGACUCGCGGCUUAGCAGCUUGUUGGUGGGGUAGUGGCUUACCAAGGCGUUGACGGGUAGCCGGCCUGAGAGGGUGACCGGCCACAUUGGGACUGAGAUGCGGCCCAGACUCCUACGGGAGGCAGCAGUGGGGAAUAUUGCACAAUGGGCGGAAGCCUGAUGCAGCAACGCCGCGUGCGGGAUGACGGCCUUCGGGUUGUAAACCGCUUUCGCCUGUGACGAAGCGUGAGUGACGGUAAUGGGUAAAGAAGCACCGGCUAACUACGUG